rnacentral:rRNA from 1 species
UACAGAAGCCCCAAGCGUUACCCGGAUUUAUUGGGCGUAAAGGGUGCGUAGGCGGUUAUGUUAGUCUUGGGUCAAAACCUGGGGCUCAACCCCAGGAUCGCAUAGGAAACGGCAUAACUAGAAGAAGUGAGAGGUGUGUGGAACUCACGGUGUAGGGGUGAAAUCCGGUGAUAUCGUGGGGAACACCAAAUGCGAAGGCAGCACACUGGCACUUUCUUGACGCUGAGGCACGAAAGCGUGGGUAGCGAACGGG